GAUGAACGCUGGCGGCGUGCCUAAUACAUGCAAGUCGAGCGAACGGACGAGAAGCUUGCUUCUCUGAUGUUAGCGGCGGACGGGUGAGUAACACGUGUAUAACCUACCUAUAAGACUGGGAUAACUUCGGGACACCGGAGCUAAUACCGGAUAAUAUUUUGAACCGCAUUGUUCAAUAGUGAAAGACGGUCUUGCUGUCACUUAUCGCUGGAUCCGCGCUGCAUUAGCUAGUUGGUAAGGUAACGGCUUACCAAGGCAACGAUGCAUAGACGACGGGAGAGGGGGAUAGGCCACACGGGAGCUGAGACACGGUCAAGAGGACUACGGGAGGCAGCAGUAGGGAACGGGACGCAAUGGGCGAAAGCAUGACGGAGCAAGGGCGCGUGAGUGAUGAAGGUCUUGGGAUCGUAAAACUCGGUUAUGAGGGAAGAACAGAUGUGGAAGGAAAUGUGGACAGAGUGACGGUAACGAAUCAGAAAGCAACGGCUAACUACGUG
rnacentral:rRNA from 1 species